GACGAACGCUGGCGGCGUGCUUAACACAUGCAAGUCGAACGGAAAGGCCCUGCUUUCGUGGGGUGCCAGCGUGGCGAACGGGUGAGUAACAUAUGAAUAACCUGCCCUUGACUUUGGGAUAACUUCAAGAAACUGGGGCUACUACCGGAUAGGAGCUCCUGCUGGAUGGUGGGCGUUGGAAAGUUUCGGCGGUUGGGGAUGUACUCGGGGCUUACCAGCUUGUUGGUGGGGUAUUGGCUUACCCAGGCAUCGGUGGCUAGUCGGCCUGAGUGGGGGGCCGGGCACAAGGGGACUAAGGUAGGGCGCAGACGCGAACAGGGGGCAGCGGUAGGGAGUAUGGUACAGUGGGCGGGAGCCUGAGACAACGACGCGGCGUGCGGGAUGACGGCCAUCGUGUUGGAAACGGCUUUCAGCUGUGACGAAGCGUGAUUGACGGUAAUGGGAAAAGAAGCACCGGCUAACUUCGUG
rnacentral:rRNA from 1 species